rnacentral:lncRNA from 1 species
UCUUAUGAAUAAGAAAUUAAGGACCCCCUGCUCUUUAUCUGGCAUCCGUUCCCUUGCUACUCACACGCACACUUCACGAAAAAAUUAUACCCAACCUGUUGAAAAGCACUUACUUUCACAUUGUUUCCUUCAAAACUUGGGUUUAGUUUCUUGUAUACUCUUUAAUCUGACUUGGAAUUUAUCAGGUUGGCUGUCAGGGAAUCAUUCAUUUGAAAUGCACGUGGACAGUGUACCCAAUAGGGCUUACUCGGAAAGUUGCCCCGAUCAAAACCCAUUGUACCCAACGCCUUUUUUAUUAUAAAUUUUUUUGAAAAAAUAAAGAAGUUCAAGCUCGACAAAUUUACACCUAUAAUAUGAGAAUUAGAUAUUUUUUUGAUGAGGUUCGAAUAUGAUGUCUGUUAAAAAAAAUUGUUUUUAAGGUAGUUGAUGCAGUUGUGAAUAUCUUGUAUUGACUAUCAAUUAAGAUAACUUCAAUACUUUAUUGUUGGUUAAUAAAGAUUACUAGUUGAUAUACAAUCUCAUAAUUUUUUACUUAUCGUAUUGAUAAGUCUUUUAAUUUAAAAAUUUGUCCGUCUCAAGUUCGUAUAAAAGAUGAGAAUUAUUAUAAUUUUCCUUUUAGGUUCGAUUGUGAGAAAGAUGUUUACUUUAUUUAAACGGGAGAGUUUUGUUGAGAGAAAAUGACAUGCGCCCCCACCAACUCUUAUGAAUAAGAAAUUAAGGACCCCCUGCUCUUUAUCUGGCAUCCGUUCCCUUGCUACUCACACGCACACUUCACGAAAAAAUUAUACCCAACCUGUUGAAAAGCACUUACUUUCACAUUGUUUCCUUCAAAACUUGGGUUUAGUUUCUUGUAUACUCUUUAAUCUGACUUGGAAUUUAUCAGGUUGGCUGUCAGUCUUUCUCUGAAGAGUGAUAAAGUGAUAUUGGGGUUUUGUUAAUUUUUUGCGUUUUCAUAAAUUAAAGCUUGGUAUUGUGGGUAUUUGAAGAUUUUGGUUGGUGGGUUGGUGUGAGUUUUUAGUUUUUAUCUGUCAAGAUUCAA